rfam:Clostridium phytofermentans ISDg, complete genome.
GAGGGUGGGCCUCAUGAACCAGGUAUAAGCUUCAAACAACUUUUGGGUUGCUGUGGCUAAAGUCAUGGUGCUUAGCACAAAGGAAAAGGCUACAUAGAGUAGGCUUGUG